AGGUACACAGUUCAAAGAUACUGUGUGUGAGGUGUGCCCCGAAGGAACAUACUCCAGCAAUGAUUCAUCAACUGAACCAUGUAUGGAAUGGACUAAUGAUAGUAGGAACUGCAGAUGCUGGAGAAUCCGAGACAACAAGGUGCAGGGCUGGAUGAACACAGCAGGCCAAGCAGCAUCAUAGGAGCAGAGAGGCUGACGUUUCGGGCCUAGACACUUCUUUUGAAAAUAUGUGCAAAAGACAGUCAACCAUUAUUUUGAUUUCAAUAAAAACCAUUUGAUUGAA